ACUAAAUAGAUACCCAGGUAGUCCACGCCCUAAACGAUGUCUACUAGUUGUCGGGUUUUAAUUAACUUGGUAACGCAGCUAAACGCGUGAAAGUAGACCGUCUGGGGAGUACGGUCGCAAGAUUAAAACUCAAAGGAAUUGACGGGGACCCGCACAAGCGGUGGAUGAUGUGGAUUAAUUCGAUGCAACGCGAAAAACCUUAACCUACCCUUGACAUGUACGGAAUCCCGAAGAGAUUUGGGAGUGCUCGAAAGAGAGCCGUAACACAGGUGCUGCAUGGCUGUCGUCAGCUCGUGUCGUGAGAUGUUGGGUUAAGUCCCGCAACGAGCGCAACCCUUGUCAUUAGUUGCUACGAAAGAGCACUCUAAUGAGACUGCCGGUGACAAACCGGAGGAAGGUGGGGAUGACGUCAAGUCCUCAUGGCCCUUAUGGGUAGGGCUUCACACGUCAUACAAUGGUACAUACAGAGGGCCGCCAACCCGGCGAGGGGGUAGCUAAUCCCAGAAAGUGUAUCGUAGUCCGGAUUGUAGUCUGCAACUCGACUACAUGAA
rnacentral:rRNA from 1 species